AACGAACGCUGGCGGCAGGCUUAACACAUGCAAGUCGAACGCACCUUUCGGGGUGAGUGGCAGACGGGUGAGUAACGCGUGGGAAUAUACCCUUCUCUACGGGAUAGCUCCGGGAAACUGGAAUUAAUACCGUAUAAGUCCUGAGGGAGAAAGAUUUAUCGGGGAAGGAUGAGCCCGCGUUGGAUUAGCUAGUUGGUGGGGUAAAGGCCUACCAAGGCGACGAUCAAUAGCUGGUCUAGGAGGAUGAUCAGCCACAUUGGGACUGAGACACGGCCCAAACUCCUACGGGAGGCAGCAGUGGGGAAUAUUGGACAAUGGGCGCAAGCCUGAUCCAGCCAUGCCGCGUGAGUGAUGAAGGCCCUAGGGUUGUAAAGCUCUUUCAGUGGGGACGAUAAUGACGGUACCCACAGAAGAAGCCCCGGCUAACUUCGUGCCAGCCGCCGCAGUAA
rnacentral:rRNA from 1 species